CAAAAUGCGAGGCAUUCAAAUGUCGACACCACCGCAAUGCCCGACCGCUGACCUCCUCAUUGGUGCAAGAAUUGGCGAUCAAGUAUAUACGCAUCCGUCAAUAUGGAACCCACAUUGGCACCACACAGUGGACAUAACCCAUCUUGGACAUGGUAUUUACGUCAGCAUCACGCUCGCCGAUGCUGCAAAGGCCAGGAC